rnacentral:rRNA from 1 species
UACAGAGGGUGCAAGCGUUAAUCGGAAUUACUGGGCGUAAAGGGUGCGUAGGUGGUUGAAAAAGUUAGGUGUGAAAGUCCUGGGCUUAACCUGGGGAUUGCGCCUAAUACUGUUUAGCUAGAGUACUGUAGAGGAAGGUGGAAUUUCCAGUGUAGCGGUGAAAUGCGUAGAUAUUGGAAGGAACAUCAGUGGCGAAGGCGACUUUCUGGACAGAUACUGACACUGAGGCACGAAAGCGUGGGGAGCAAACAGG